rnacentral:rRNA from 1 species
AUGACGUUAUCCCCUCACACACUCCGCCCUCCCCUCCCACUCCCGCUCCCGCUCCCGCCAACUUCAAACCGCCGCCACCACCGCCCGCCGCCGCCUCCCUCCCGCUCCCGCCCCCGCGCAGUCCGCCGCAGCGAACUCCUCGCCGGGGACGGCAUGGCGUCGCACGGCUCGCACCCCACGCUGCUCGAGCACAUGGGCCGGACCGGCGCGCCCGCCGACCUCGCCGUCCUCGUCGCCCACAUCCAGGCCGCCUGCAAGCGCAUCGCCGCGCUCGUCGCGUCCCCCGGCAACGCCGACCUCUCGCGGGCCAAGCCGGCCGCUGCCGGUGCCGCGUCCGCGGCCGGGCGCGACGCGCCCAAGCCGCUCGACGAAUUGUCGAACGAGAUCAUCCUGUCGUCGCUCCAGAGCUCCGGAAAAGUUGCGGUGGUGGCGUCUGAAGAAAACGAUCUCCCCGUUUGGUUGUGCGACGAUGGUCCCUAUGUUGUUGUCACCGACCCGCUUGAUGGUUCUCGCAACAUCGAGGUGUCGAUCCCCACUGGAACGAUAUUUGGAAUAUAUGAUAGGCUGGUGGAACUCGACCAGCUUCCCGUGGAGGAGAAAGCUCAGCUCAAUUCGCUGCAGAGCGGUUCUCGCUUGGUCGCUGCUGGAUACGUCCUGUAUUCAUCUGCCACCAUUUUCUGCAUCAGUUUCGGUGCAGGAACCCAUGGCUUCACGUUGGAUAGAUCGACAGGAGAAUUUGUUCUGACGCAUCCUUCCAUGCAAAUACCCCCCAGAGGACAGAUAUAUUCAGUGAAUGAUGCGCGGUAUUUCGACUGGCCAGAGGGCCUGAAGAAGUACAUCGACACGAUCAGACAAGGCAAGGGGCAGCAUCCCAAGAAGUACUCUGCUCGGUACGUGUGCUCGCUGGUCGCUGACUUUCAUCGGACGAUCAUAUACGGUGGAGUCGCAAUGAACCCGAGGGAUCACCUUCGGUUGGUUUACGAGGCAAAUCCUCUCAGUUUCCUUGCCGAGCAGGCAGGGGGGCGAGGCUCAGAUGGCAAAACCAGAAUCCUGUCCAUUCAGCCUGUGAAGCUGCACCAGAGGCUGCCAUUGUUCCUGGGGAGAAUGGAGGACAUGCUUGAGCUAGAAAGCUACGGAGAUGUCCAGCAGAAGGUCAAUCCUGGAUACGAUGUCUAA